rnacentral:rRNA from 1 species
AUUGAACGCUGGCGGCAUGCCUAACACAUGCAAGUCGAACGGCAGCACAGUGUGUAGCAAUACACAUGGGUGGCGAGUGGCGGACGGGUGAGUAAUGCGUAGGAAUUUACCUCAAAGCGGGGGAUAGCCCGGAGAAAUCCGGAUUAAUACCGCAUGUGCUCUACGGAGGAAAGCGGGCCUCUACUUGUAAGCUCGCACUUUGAGAUAAGCCUACGUCGGAUUAGCUAGUUGGUAGGGUAAAGGCCUACCAAGGCGACGAUCCGUAGCUGGUUUGAGAGGAUGAUCAGCCACACUGGGACUGAGACACGGCCCAGACUCCUACGGGUGGCAG